rnacentral:misc_RNA from 1 species
CGGCCGCCACCCCAUCACCCGACAACGAAGGGACCGGGCCCCAAAGCCCCCCACGCCGCGAAGCACACAGCCACACAAACGCAGCCCACAAGGCCAGAACACCAAACAAAACCAACAGCACCCCCUUUACCCAACCCACGCCUUUUUCAAUGAAAUACCAAAGAAACCCCGCCCAUGGCGGCACCCCCCCCCGGCCACCCAAGCACGGCCCCCACCUGCAGGCGGCGCGAGGCCCGGGCUUGGGACACGCAGAAGCUCUUCCCCAGUACACGGAUGGCACAAGCGCGCCCACUGCAGCAGGCCAAAAAAGCGCAGCGCCACCCAGCAGCUUGGCGCCGGCACCAGCGGCGACAAACCGCCCCGACCCACCGACGCCAACGGCACACGACCCUGUCACCACGAAAGGCGGCGCAACACCCCACGGAUAAAGCGAGACUUCCCAGCGCCCACGACGCAAAACAAGUGGCCGAUCCUUUGGAAAUGCCGUGGUGUUGUUCGUGGCUUUGUGAAAAAAAGAAGCAAAACCCCAGAGCACCCAAAAAAGGGUACCCUUUUUAAAGCGACUGCGCCACAACCCAGCCUUUUGGGGCCAACGCCACCAGCCAUGAAAAAAAAAACCACCCCCGGCCCCGCCAGCGGCACCACAACCCCCCGCUUCGAAAAAAACGAAAAGAACACGAGCACUGCGGCGUUUCAGAAAUUCCAUAGAAUCAAGCCCAACGCCAAGACACGCCAGGAGCCGCCAUCCCGAACCCCAGCAAACCAUUUUAAGACAAAAGGCACCGUUUACGACCCAAGCGGCGUUUCUUAAAGAAGCCGCGCAUCCCGAGGCCCACCAAAAGAACAAAAGCGAACACCAAGCACCACAAGGCAAAGGAAGACGCGUUUUGAACGGUUCACCCCGCGGCCCCUCCCCCCGGCAAAAAGCGCCUAGCCCGCAGGCCGCCAUGGUAUUUGCCGAAACGAAAAAGCCCGGUGUGAAAAUAGUCAUUUGUACACCCCACAUCCGCCCCACAAAAAAAGGCAACGGGUAAAAAAGAGACCGCAUUCAUCCUAAACUUGAUGUAUCCCAGCCUUUGCCGGAACAAGCGGGGAAAAUCGCACCGCGAAAACCGAUAAGGAGAAAGCACUUCUCAACAAAAAAAAAAACAAAAUCAUUGCCCCACCAGCCCGAGCAAAAAACCCACAGCGGAACAGGCACCCGAGGGAAACAACGGCAAAACCCGAGACCAAGCACCAAAUAAAAUUGGACCAAGCACCGCGGGACCCGAAAAGUAAAAACCAACACGUAGACGUCAAAGACGCAUUUUUUUCCGCGGCUUUCGGGUUUGUGUAGCGAAACAAAAAUAAAGCGGGCGUAAAGUUUGCUGGCCAUCGGGCGCGGGGCGUUGGGAAAACAUUGGCCUCUCCUUCGAAAAAACCAAAGACAGCCCAGACAUUGUCAUUCCGCACCUUUUGAAAAUAAAAAGCCGCAAAAUUUGGUUCGGAAAUGCCGUUUUGAGGGGCGCGCGCGCCAACCACCGGGCCCGCAAGGUCUUAAAGAAAUGCAAACCAGGCGCCCUGGGCUCCAAGAAAAAGCACCAUUCCUAAUUUUAGUCAUCGCGCCGGCUUUUUUCUGCCAACACACCGCCUCGAUUCUCCAAGGUUAGUAUUUUACGAUAACGAUGUUUUUUUUUUUUCAGGUCACCCAUAACAAUAUAUAGCCGCCAAAGUCGCUUUUCUAAUUGAAGCGCAAAAAAAAAAUGGUCGUUUCCCUUUAAAGUUUUCGAAAGCGUUUGGGCGCCUCUUUUGCUGAAGCUUCGGUCUCCGCGCUGAAAAGGGGCCUCACCCCCGCGCCAGCGCCACGGUAACCCCGGCAACCCCCCCCCACACACACACACCAAAAAAAAUAUGGGCGUGUAAACAGAUUGCGCGAACAGCGGCUGGAUACCCGGAAAAAACCCGCAACCCCGCCGCCCCCGUGACGGCUGUCCUUUCUCCUCGCGCUACGCCGUUUGCCUACCCGCGCGCGGGCUCAUGUUUGGUCACUUAGCGUAAAAAAAUGCUUCCCGGAGAUGCCAAAGUGCUUUUUUUUGCCGUUUUGCCAGCACUUUAUUAUUCCGUAAUUCAUCGUGAACCCCUUUUCUGGAGAGCCUAAGAUGUUGCGCUCCCCCGCAUAUAUAUAUAUAUAUGUUGCCCGCAAUUUUUGUCCGCCGAACUGUUUUUUUUUUUUUUCUGGUGGCCCGGCAAAGUAAAAGAUUAAAAUGCGAAAAAAACCAUCAAAAAAAUUUGAAAAUGCCAACAAGCAUUUUUUUUUAUCUUCGCUGUCAGAAGUCAUGUUAGACUGUUCAUUGUGUUUGUUUUCUCGGGCAGUUAAGGCGCCAUUUCCACCGACGGCGCGCGUAGUUUACCACACCCCUGAAAAAUGCGUUCCGAAAUGUUUUGCAAAGAGUUUUCAG